rnacentral:rRNA from 1 species
CAGCUGCCAGAGGUCACAACCCGGGGAGAUGCACCAAUCGGCAACCUGCAGCGAACCCUGUAUUGACAGGCUCGUUCACAGACUAAGUGAUUGUGGGGAGGGCUGAGGCCCUGCUUAAGAUAUAGUCGGACCCGCGUGAGAGCGCCGGGGGUUCUGCAGAACCAAACGUCCGUAGGUGAACCUGCGGAAGGAUCAUUAUCAUUAGAAAAGAUGCGGGCCGAAAUGCCCGUACUUCUAAACCCUAUGUUAACAUACCUUUGUUGCUUUGGCAGGCCGCGGUCUCCGCUGUGGGCUCACGCUCGCACGUGCCUGCCAGAGGACCCAACUCUUGAUUUUAGUGAUGUCUGAGUACUAUUAAAUAGUUAAAACUUUCAACAACGGAUCUCUUGGUUCUGGCAUCGAUGAAGAACGCAGCGAAAUGCGAUAAGUAAUGUGAAUUGCAGAAUUCAGUGAAUCAUCGAAUCUUUGAACGCACAUUGCGCCCGCUGGUAUUCCGGCGGGCAUGCCUGUUCGAGCGUCAUAAUGACCAACUCACGCCCCGCGUGGUCUUGGGGUCCGCUGCCUCGGCGGCCCCUAAACGCAGUGGCGGUGCCGUGCGGCUCUCAGCGUAGUAAUUCUUCUCGCUACAGGGUCCGGACGGUGCUGGCCAGCAACCCCAACUAC